GGGACAGCAAGCAUGGAGAUUUAAGUCAGAGGAAGACCAACUGUCACUGCAGAGGGGAAAGGGCAUGAGAAUGAGCACUGCAAGAAAAAAAAAUCAUCAAAAAAUUCCUCCUUCUCUGGGAUGAAUACAGGGGAGUAAAUGUGUUCCUACAAAAAUUGAAUUAUGUAGUGAUUUUAAAUAUGGUGUGAGAAUGAAGGACAUAUGAGCUGCAACGAGAGAACCAAAGAGGAAUUAUGUGAUGUGUUCAGGCUGGGAGUGUGCCUCACAUGACAACAGGAAGAGAGGAAAGGUGGAGGAAAAAAAGAUCAGAAUCUACUCUAUUCUGAGCCAUUAAUGUCAGCCAUGUUGAUGUUUUGUAGCUAGUUAUAUUUGCUGAUGGUUCCCACGCACUCAUGACAUUCAACUUUGCAUCAUCCCCUAAAAACUGGAAAGAUGUCUCUCUGAGAAUGACCUAUAGCUUUGAUAUCACCAUAACUAAUUUCCUUUUCCUAAAGUAAUGGUGCCUACUCUUGAGGAGCAGAAUGCUGUGAGCUUUUAUUUCCAGUCUGAGGAUAGUUCUGUGAUAGGUGG
rnacentral:lncRNA from 1 species